GUCUGUUUCCUCAGAACACCGGUCUUCACCAAAGGCGUGGGAAAGGGCAGAGAGCACAGGACAUAUUCUGGAAUUCAGGUCACCUUUUACAUCUGCCUGGAGUUGGGUGAGCGCCUCACGAAUGACUCGGCAGGACUGACUGCCACUGCUAACCAGGCGGAUGCAAGCAAUGAGGAGGACCUGCCCAGGCCGGGUGGGUGUCUGCUCCCUCCCUCUGGUCCCUGGCACAUCUCUGGACCCCCUGCCCUGCUGUCGGAGAGAGAUGACGGGCAACGGCGUAUUCUCAGAGACAGGGCCUGCCUGCAAAUCCUUUAAAGUCAAUGGGAUGAAAUGUAUACCCAUUGUUAGAAAAAAAUAGGACUUAGCAAGUUGAGUGCAAAUAACUGAUGCAAGACUGGGAUGGAGAUGGGAGGGGUUUGGGGCAAAAGCAGAAGUCUUUCUGGGUCCGCACCAGCUGUGAAAUACCUGGCUUGUUGUUCUGUGCCUGUCUCCAGCACCCAGGCAGGGCUACCUGACCACUCUGCUCUCUCAGCCCCGCCCUGGCUCUGGAGCGAGCCUGUGGAAAGGGGGACACUUAGCCAAGGCCCCAGCCACAUAGCAGCAGCAGCUGCGCCCUCUGUCAGCUCCUUGCACCUCCUCACUGGGCCUCCUGCAAGGCACCUGCUCCACUCCACCACUAUCACCUGGGUCCUCCUGGCCUUGGCCUGGCUUGCUUACCUUGUUAUCAAGUCCUGAAUGGGGGAAGCAAUAUUCCUUCUCCACUACAAAUCACCACAGUAUUCACAAAGAAUUCCAGAGAAAUAAGAACAGAGACAUCAGACCACACUGAGCACUCAAUAAAGAGAAAAUUCUUCAAAGGUAGCUGAUUGAUGAGAGUUUCCACAUGCAGAUGGGACAGGCACUGAUUUGUGCACAAGAAGAUCAACUUGAUUGAAUCCAAAAUAAAGGAAUGUGUGUGUGCUGCAUGCACGCACACACAUAUCCCCAUGGCAAACUCUUGCUAUCCCAGGAGCGCAGACCGCAUGUGAGGAUCCUGGCUCCUUAUCUCCCCUCCCCGUAUCUCCCUUCCCUGAUUACCUUUGCGAUCUGCACACACCAGUUGAGCAGGUACUGGGAGCCAAUAUUGUCUUUGUGUUCCCGGACAUAGUCCAGGAGGCAGCCGAAGGGCAUGAGCUGCGUGAUGAGCUGCACGGUGGAGGUGAGGCAGAUGCCCAGCAGGCGGCACACGUGGGGGUUGUCCACGCUGGCCAUCACGUAGGCUUCCUGGAGGGAGGGAGAGGCACGUCAGUGUGGCUUCGCAUGGUGGCCAGAAGGAGGGGCACAUGGACCCCUUCCAGGUGAAGACGCAUGAAUGCGAUCUUGAGUUUCAAAAUACGUACUCAUGGAGGAAAAGCUGUGCCUGCAAAAGACCUAGCACAGGGACGUUUACGCAGGGCUGUGAAGUGACAGAUGCAGUGGGAGAGGGCCCCUCCUGGGUGCAUCUGGGGAUUCCCCAUGACAGAGAGGCCCAGGCAACAGUGGCCAUGAGGAGCACAUUGGAUAAAGGAGGAGUCGGAGUCACCUGAUCUCUGAGUUUGGGAACUGAUAGUAUCUUUGUUAUGAAGACCUCCGCCUCAAGGUUGAGGAUGCUGUGUUUUAAAAUAUCAUGAGGGCCUGUAGGAAUCUGUGUGGGGUCCGGAACACCCUGGGUAAUGACUGACCCUGCACAUCAGGAACGCUGGCUGUGGGUGCUGCAGAGGACAAGCGAUGGAGAAGGCAUCCGGGGAGCACCGAGCCAGCAGGGAGAAAGGCCUCCCUUCCCCACAGGCCAGGCUUGGCCCUGACUGUGCUCUGGGAAAUGGGUGGGCAUUUGGGCUGGGGACCCUGCCCACAGCACCUCUGCAAAGAGUAGCUGGAUAAGCUCUUUCAAUAGACCAGUCCCAGGUUUUGAAAUGGACAGAGCAUUCAAUCUACAGUGACUAAAGGCUGCCUGGCUGCCCGGGACCCAUUUCUAAAGAGAAGUGGUCUCUCUGUGCUGUGCCCCCAGGCUCCCUAUGGGAAAUCCAUGCUGCACUGAGUCAGGCAUCUGCUGCCCUGCUAAUUCCGGCUGGCUGCCAAGGCAGGGGCCUUCCUUUGACAGAGCCAUAAAUACAGACUUUAUUUUAACCCUUCUGCUAUUCUUGGGCUGAGGAAGCUAAAUUUAUUUGCAAUCAGGCACACAAUGGGGCCCUCUUUUCUGUCUGACUGAGAAUGAGGGAAUCCCCAAUUUCCACCCAUAAAUUCUCUUUCUCUUUAAAAUACAAAUGGUGGUGACCUUUUAUUCAGAUAUGGAAAAGAACACACAGACUGUAGCAGAAAGCAUCCACAGCUGCUUUUCACAUCUCAGCAAUGCCUAUGUUUUGAGUGUGGACUUGGGCAAGUUAGUUUCUCUGCAGAAGUGAACACACUGAGCCAGGCUCUGAGAUAGGGUGCUGCUCCAGGGUGCCCGGGCAGGUCAGGAGCAACAGGCUGGCGGGAGGCAGGGUGGAGAUAGGAGACAGGAGACAAAGGCAAGGUGGGGCGAGGGGACACAGACAGUGGACCCUCAGUAUCUGGGGAAUUGGUUCCAGGACCUCCCUUAAAUAUCAAAAUGUGAGGAUGCUCAAGCCCCUGAUAUAAAGUGGCACAGCAUUUGUGUGUAACCUACAGACAUCCUCCCAUCUACAGCAUCUCCUGAUUACCUAUAGUACCUAAUACAGUGCAAAUGCUAUGUGAAUAAUUGUUAUGCUGUAUUGUUUAGGGAAUAAUGACAAGAAAAAAAGUCCGUAUAUGUUCAGUACCGAUGCAA
rnacentral:lncRNA from 1 species